AGAAAUAAAAUGUGCCAUGCACAGAACGCUUAGUAUCUAAUAACUAAGAAUUCCUGUUGCAGCCCUUUUUCUUUUAGUUUUUGGCUUCUUUGUUUGGGAAACCUAGCGCUGACAGGAGCUCCCAAUAUUCUAUUUAGAUGUGUUGCUUAUACUGUGAACUCAGACUGACUGACUUAGGUAACCAAAGUAGGCACACAAACCAACUUGUUUCUUCUCAUGGCUGGAGAAACCUCAGCUCUGUUUGUAUUUAUUGUGUGAAGCUCUUUCUACACUCCCAAAGGUUGGGAGUGCCAUUCGUGGGGACUGUGCUGUCCCCCUCACCCCACCCCUUAACUAGCAAAGCCUGAUGUGUAAGCCCAGAGGAGGUGGCCUGGGGAUGGCCACCAACAACCUUCUCUUAGGACUCCUGUGUGUGGUUGCUGGGCAGACCCCUGGCCUGACCCUGUUUGUGCUUCUCUGAUCUGUAGGGAGGAGGCUCAUUGCUGCUUUCUGAGGUCCUGUUGUGUCCCUUCCAGAAAGCAUCCUUAGAAGAGAGGACCCGGUUUGAUCUUCUCUGAAGCUCCUAUCCUCUUUUCUUGAGGGUCCCCUUAAAUCUGAGUGGCAAGCCCACAGUGGCGAGGGCCAGUCGCUGGAAUGUCGGGGCUGCUGUUGAGGUCCUCAGGCUACACUGGUUGUCUGUGUCACAUGGCGGUCGGGCGUGGACUUUGAUCCCUGUUGAGAGAGCAUGCUGCUGUGGGCGCUGGGCUGGGGAAGGUCCUUCCAUGCUUCAUGCUGCCUUGGAGGUUUGGCCAAGAGGGUCUCUGCCCUUGGCGGUUGUCAGGGUCCCAGGUGGAGGACUACUCCCAGUUCUUUGGCUUACGGAAGGUGUCUGCCAUGCUUUGUGCUUUGGGCCGAAUCGUCUGAGCAGGCUGGGCCUUGGAAGAGUUGCGCUGCAUGAGCUUGGGGCCUCCCAGCAGCUGCAGCCUGUGUAGAAGGUGGUCCAGGCUUAGGGAACAGGAGUGAACAGACUUCAGCCCCACCUGGCAGGGGCUGGCUCCCGAGGUUGGGCCCAGUCCCUGAGGGUCUGCUCUGCUACGGGUCUGCCCUUGAGUGGCCUUCCGUGGAGGGUGUGUGACCAGGUGGAUGGCGCAGGGCCUCUGGAGCCCUCUCCUCAGGAGCAGUCCUCAGCCUUUUUCUGUAAAAGACUUUUCUUUGGUGUUCUAGGUGGUCAGCAGGUUCCAGGCUGGUGUUUACAAUCUCGGAGGAAGUGCGAUGGUUUCUGUUCUUUUGACAGUUCAGUCUGAUUUCAAGUCAGUCGAAAGCGAACCAGAAGCACCGGGCACAGCAGCUCCUCUGGCUGUGUAGACAGACCUGGCAAUGUGGCCGUGCAGCCCAGACGAUCAGAGAGAAGCCAGGCGUUGACCAAGCCCCAAGGCAAGGAAAGGAAACCACUGCUUAGAGACACUAGGUACAGGGCAUCAAGAGGGUGCAGCCCAGCCCCGCCAGGACGAGGCGCCGACUUCUCAUUCAGGGUUGACGGAGCCAAGAGUUUGUGCAAAAUGUAUGCAUGGUGGUUGCUGCCAGCCUCCCUCAUGACUAAAUGCAUAUCUAUUCCUGUCAAAACGUGUAUCACAAUGUACUUGAAACUGUUAUCUUUGUGCUCUAUUGUUUGAAUAAUUAAAGAAAUUACAGAGACUCUC
rnacentral:lncRNA from 1 species